AUUGAACGCUGGCAGAAUGCUUUACACAUGCAAGUCGAACGGCAGCACGGACUUCGGUCUGGUGGCAAGUGGCGAACGGGUGAGUAAUGUAUCGGAACGUGCCCAGUCGUGGGGGAUAACGUAGUGAAAAUUACGCUAAUACCGCAUACGAUCUAUGGAUGAAAGCGGGGGAUCGCAAGACCUCGCGCGAUUGGAGCGGCCGAUAUCAGAUUAGGUAGUUGGUGGGGUAAAGGCCCACCAAGCCAACGAUCUGUAGCUGGUCUGAGAGGACGACGCGGCACACUGGAACUGAGGCACGGUCCAGACUCCUACGGGAGGCAGCAGUGGGGAAUUUUGGACAAUGGGCGGAAGCCUGAUCCAGCCAUUCCGCGUGCAGGAUGAAGGCCCUCGGGUUGUAAACUGCUUUUGUACAGAACGAAAAGGUUUCUACUAAUACUAGGAGCUCAUGACGGUACUGUAAGAAUAAGCACCGGCUAACUACGUGCCAGCCGCCGCAGUAA
rnacentral:rRNA from 1 species